UUCCUGAUCUCUUAAAUUUACAGGGAGUUUUGUAUUAUAAAACCAGAGGUUGUCUAGGAAUGAUUGGUAUCAAAUGGGUUGGGUAUAAGCUUUUGGGUAUAAAAUCACCUUUAAAUCUUUUCAUUGUUAUUAGAACGUUUGGAUAGAA